rnacentral:rRNA from 1 species
UACGUAGGGUGCAAGCGUUGUUCGGAAUCAUUGGGCGUAAAGCGCGUGUAGGCGGUUGGCUAAGUCCGGUGUGAAAUCCCGGGGCUUAACUCCGGAAGUGCACUGGAUACUGGCCAACUAGAGGACGGGAGAGGAAAGCGGAAUUCCUGGUGUAGGGGUGAAAUCCGUAGAUAUCAGGAGGAAUGCCGGAGGCGAAGGCGGCUUUCUGGUCCGUUACUGACGCUGAGACGCGAAAGCGUGGGUAGCAAACAGG